rnacentral:rRNA from 1 species
CCCCAGCGCCACAAGUGGCAACCGCAUAUUGGGCCUAAAGCGUUCGUAGCCGGUGAGGUAAAUCUUUGGUGAAAUCGUUAGGCUUAACUUAACGGAUUGCCAGAGACACUGCCUUGCUAGGGACCGGGAGGCGUCAGAGGUACUCUUGAGGGAGCGGUAAAAUGCAUUAAUCUCAAGAUGACCACCUGUGGCGAAGGCGUCUGACGAGAACGGAUCCGACGGUGAGGGACGAAAGCUAGGGGAGCGAUCCGG